AAAUUGAAGAGUUUGAUCAUGGCUCAGAUUGAACGCUGGCGGCAGGCCUAACACAUGCAAGUCGAGCGGUAGCACAGAGAGCUUGCUCUCGGGUGACGAGCGGCGGACGGGUGAGUAAUGUCUGGGAAACUGCCUGAUGGAGGGGGAUAACUACUGGAAACGGUAGCUAAUACCGCAUAACGUCGCAAGACCAAAGUGGGGGACCUUCGGGCCUCAUGCCAUCAGAUGUGCCCAGAUGGGAUUAGCUAGUAGGUGGGGUAAUGGCUCACCUAGGCGACGAUCCCUAGCUGGUCUGAGAGGAUGACCAGCCACACUGGAACUGAGACACGGUCCAGACUCCUACGGGAGGCAGCAGUGGGGAAUAUUGCACAAUGGGCGCAAGCCUGAUGCAGCCAUGCCGCGUGUGUGAAGAAGGCCUUCGGGUUGUAAAGCACUUUCAGCGGGGAGGAAGGCGGUGAGGUUAAUAACCUCAUCGAUUGACGUUACCCGCAGAAGAAGCACCGGCUAACUCCGUGCCAGCAGCCGCGGUAAUACGGAGGGUGCAAGCGUUAAUCGGAAUUACUGGGCGUAAAGCGCACGCAGGCGGUCUGUCAAGUCGGAUGUGAAAUCCCCGGGCUCAACCUGGGAACUGCAUUCGAAACUGGCAGGCUAGAGUCUUGUAGAGGGGGGUAGAAUUCCAGGUGUAGCGGUGAAAUGCGUAGAGAUCUGGAGGAAUACCGGUGGCGAAGGCGGCCCCCUGGACAAAGACUGACGCUCAGGUGCGAAAGCGUGGGGAGCAAACAGGAUUAGAUACCCUGGUAGUCCACGCCGUAAACGAUGUCGAUUUGGAGGUUGUGCCCUUGAGGCGUGGCUUCCGGAGCUAACGCGUUAAAUCGACCGCCUGGGGAGUACGGCCGCAAGGUUAAAACUCAAAUGAAUUGACGGGGGCCCGCACAAGCGGUGGAGCAUGUGGUUUAAUUCGAUGCAACGCGAAGAACCUUACCUGGUCUUGACAUCCACAGAACUUUCCAGAGAUGGAUUGGUGCCUUCGGGAACUGUGAGACAGGUGCUGCAUGGCUGUCGUCAGCUCGUGUUGUGAAAUGUUGGGUUAAGUCCCGCAACGAGCGCAACCCUUAUCCUUUGUUGCCAGCGGUCCGGCCGGGAACUCAAAGGAGACUGCCAGUGAUAAACUGGAGGAAGGUGGGGAUGACGUCAAGUCAUCAUGGCCCUUACGACCAGGGCUACACACGUGCUACAAUGGCAUAUACAAAGAGAAGCGACCUCGCGAGAGCAAGCGGACCUCAUAAAGUAUGUCGUAGUCCGGAUUGGAGUCUGCAACUCGACUCCAUGAAGUCGGAAUCGCUAGUAAUCGUAGAUCAGAAUGCUACGGUGAAUACGUUCCCGGGCCUUGUACACACCGCCCGUCACACCAUGGGAGUGGGUUGCAAAAGAAGUAGGUAGCUUAACCUUCGGGAGGGCGCUUACCACUUUGUGAUUCAUGACUGGGGUGAAGUCGUAACAAGGUAACCGUAGGGGAACCUGCGGUUGGAUCACCUCCUUA
rnacentral:rRNA from 1 species